rnacentral:rRNA from 1 species
UGAACGCUGGCGGCGUGCCUAAUACAUGCAAGUCGAGCGAACGGACGAGAAGCUUGCUUCUCUGAUGUUAGCGGCGGACGGGUGAGUAACACGUGGAUAACCUACCUAUAAGACUGGGAUAACUUCGGGAAACCGGAGCUAAUACCGGAUAAUAUUUUGAACCGCAUGGUUCAAAAGUGAAAGACGGUCUUGCUGUCACUUAUAGAUGGAUCCGCGCUGCAUUAGCUAGUUGGUAAGGUAACGGCUUACCAAGGCAACGAUGCAUAGCCGACCUGAGAGGGUGAUCGGCCACACUGGAACUGAGACACGGUCCAGACUCCUACAGGAGGCAGCAGUAGGGAAUCUUCCGCAAUGGGCGAAAGCCUGACGGAGCAACGCCGCGUGAGUGAUGAAGGUCUUCGGAUCGUAAAACUCUGUUAUUAGGGAAGAACAUAUGUGUAAGUAACUGUGCACAUCUUGACGGUACCUAAUCAGAAAGCCACGGCUAACUACGUG